GCCGAAAUAGUUUAACUGGUAAAACGAGUUCCUUGUAAGAAUUAGUUAUUGGUUCGAGUCCGAUUUUUGGCU
rfam:Phlebia centrifuga strain FBCC195 PHLCENscaffold_2975, whole genome shotgun sequence.